AAGAAAUUCAGCGUGCCAAUCAUCUCAUGUGCCAUGAGUCGACUCAUGGGUCGACUCAUGAUUUUCAAUCAUGCAUAUCUUUCAACAUACAAGUCCAAAAUUAAUAAAAUUUUCACCAUUGGAUCAUAAAUCUUUUGUUCUAUCAUUUGAUAUCAUCAAAUCAGAGUUUUGGUAAAAUUAUCAUUUUGCCCUUGAGGAGCAAAAAAGGCUU
rnacentral:lncRNA from 1 species